rnacentral:rRNA from 1 species
GAUGAACGCUGGCGGCGUGCCUAAUACAUGCAAGUCGAGCGAACAGACGAGGAGCUUGCUCCUCUGACGUUAGCGGCGGACGGGUGAGUAACACGUGGAUAACCUACCUCUAAGACUGGGAUAACUUCGUGAAACCGGAGCUAAUACCGGAUAAUAUAUUGAACCGCAUGGUUCAAUAGUGAAAGACGGCUUUGCUGUCACUUAUAGAUGGAUCCGCGCCGCAUUAGCUAGUUGGUAAGGUAACGGCUUACCAAGGCAACGAUGCGUAGCCGACCUGAGAGGGUGAUCGGCCACACUGGAACUGAGACACGGUCCAGACUCCUACGGGAGGCAGCAGUAGGGAAUCUUCCGCAAUGGGCGAAAGCUUGACGGAGCAACGCCGCGUGAGUGAUGAAGGUCUUCGGAUCGUAAAACUCUGUUAUUAGGGAAGAACAAAUGUGUAAGUAACUAUGCACGUCUUGACGGUACCUAAUCAGAAAGCCACGGCUAACUACGUG